AAAUAAAGUAAUCAAUGAUGUUAGAUUUUUAAUCUGAAUAUAGGAGCUAGCUCCUCUUAUUUA
rnacentral:tRNA from 1 species